CUCAAAAUAGGGGGAGGGGGAAAUAGAAGAAUUGAGAAUGUGGAAUUUCGCGUAAAAAGGAGGCCAAAACAGUCGAGGCGUCGUGACGAGCACCAUCGGGAUUUCACAAUGAGCCAUCUUUGUCAUGAUGGGAAAAAUCGCAUCAUCCUGACGGUACCAACCACAUCCCAACGUGGUUCUACAACUUCACAAUAAGGAAACAAACAGCCUGUGUCGUUACGGCGAGAAGCAUCGCGUUGCCACAAUGUGAGGCCCCACGUCGCAAUGAGAAGAAACGUACAUGUAACGACCUUGGGAAUUGUAACGUCGAUGCAACAUUGUAAUGAACCAAAAAGCCACGUUGUGAUGAGGUGAUGAUUAUAAAAGGGCCCUCGUCAUGACGAGCCUUAAUUCAACUGCACCCAAACGAUUUCCUUUUCCAUUUUCCAUCAUUUUCCUCCAUUCCAAUGCCUCAAUCAACCACUACUCUGUGUAUUUCAUAUUUUUAGACAUUAAUUUUUCAAUUUUUUUUCCUUUUCUCCCACUCGAAAACUCUCCUCUAAAGGGCAAUCAAUCUCUAACAAAGUCAAACACGAUGGCCAAGGAAAAAUAGACAUAUCGGCAAUAAGAAAAGCCUGGUGACAUCUUUCUCUAAUUUGUUUACUUUAUUGUUGAAUUUUGAACGAUGGAUUAAAGAACCUGGAUUUUUGAAAUUAAUUUGUCUGAUUGAUUGUGGGAAUUGUAUUCGUUGCCAUCAUAAAUGACUAGCAUCUUGAAAAAUUGAGGAACGCGAUGUCCUGAAUGAACCAAGGAGACAGUUCGUCUCCAAUAAUGUUGUUGCUUGAAUAAAAAAUUUCAACAAACUAUUGAUCCCAAAAUGUGGCUUCGAUUUCACCACGCAGUCAUUUCACGACCCAAUAAUUACAAAGGUCAAUCGAUUAUGGUGGAAUACAUUCUGCCGACAACCACUCAAAUCGAUUGUAAUAUCAAUCGUUUAGGAACUAUACGCAAAUUUUCUUAAAACCUAAGAGAACAAAGUCUUUGUGAAAAGCGUGUGCAUAGACAUCUUUCAAAUAGCAGUUGAGGUUGUUCAUAAGACACCUCACUAUGCUGUUGAUUUUUACUAAAAUUUAAAUGAAGACGAGGUAGAUUAUGAUGCAAUAAUUAAAUUUUUAACUGAGGGUUGAGACCAUUGGGUCCGAAAAUAGGUGACCUAGGAGCCAUUACGAUUUCAACAAUCAAUUAUGACCUUGGAAGCCAAUAUGUGGAUGUAUUUUAUUGGCACAAAAUUAUUCCCUACUCAGCACAUCAUAGAAGUUAUCCGUAAUCAUGCUCUUUUUUUGUACAUUAUCUUACAGGGCUAGUAGGUCAACAUGGGAGACUAGAUCUUCGUGAACAUACGACAAUGUGCCGAAGGGCAUACACGAGGAAUCACAUACUCGCACCUAAUCACGAAGAUGUGCCGGAGGGCUGGUGCUGUAAUUGAUCCUGAAAAACCGACUUGUCCACCAAAAAGUAUAUUGGGUAAAUGAUAUCUUCUCAUUAGCAUUAAAUGGUUGAUGAAAAGUAAACGUGGCCACAGGUCGUCCGUCUUUAUGAUGGAUGACUUGAUCACUAUUUGAUAGUGAUUGGCUUUUCAAGGAAGAAGAUGUAAUGGUUACCAUAAGAUAAAAUAGGAUCAUAUUGGGAGAUCGGAUAUUAUCCCAAAGAGAUUAAGGGUAUCCUAUGAGGGUAACCCACUUAUGAUAAGGUUAUUGGGCGAGCACUGAAUAGUUACUUUAGUAAUGGUAUGUCGUUGAGGAGAGCUAAGUCACGGUAUUAUAGUGGAAUAACUUCGUGACUAAAUGAGUCUAUAAUUAAUAGGCAAAAAGUUGGAAGUUAAUUAUAAAUCAUUUGAGCAUCAACUAUAUAUGUCCAAUCAGUCCUUCCAUUAGCUUGUUAAAACCAUAAAUGAAUUGCGUAUCUAAAUAGACAUGAACGAAAUGAAUAGAAAAAAAGAAAUGGGAAACAUUCAUGAAUAAUUAUGUUUUCUCUGAAAUGGAGAAAUGGAAUCAUUUGGAAAUGAAUGUAGGUUUCCAAAAAUGAAAAUAGAAAUGAAAAUAAAAAUGGGAACUUGCAAUCCUAUAUAGGAUUACUUAAAAAAUGAUGGAAGAAUGAGUUUAUGUUUUUGGACUGUUUUGAAGCCAUUAAAUGAAAAUAAAUCAUUUGGUCAUAGUGAACAUGUUGAGUUGUGACAUAUUGAAUGGAUUUUCUCGAAAUUUUACAUAGGGUAAAAUCGUUAAAAUUUUAUCUGUAUUUAACGAGAUUGUUUUCUUGGCAUUUUAUAAUUAAUUAUUACAUUUUUUAUAUUAGUAGGUUGGGAAUGAAAUAUUAAUAAAAUAAGUGUUUUUACACAUUUUUUGCUGUUUUGAUGACCCGGAAGGCCAACUUGAUCGAGAGUGACUAAUGGGGUAGUUAAGUGUGUAGGAUGUCAAUUCAGGUCCAAGAAUACAAAGAAUGAUCGUCGGGCCACAAUACAAGGAAGGUCAUGUUGCAAAAUAGAUCAACAAAGCUGCCAAGGCUAGAAAAUCACUUAACGUCAUGACGAGGAACUUCCUCUAGUCAUGACGACGCAGUGAUUAUAGGAAUGAGUUCACGGUGGCAACGUCGUGAUGAGGAGUCUUUCCACGUCAUGAUGACAUGACGAAGGUAGGCCAAAAUGAGUUGACUCUUUGGACAACACUAUUGGGAUAUUUCCAUAUUUAGACCCUAAAACUUUAAGAGUAUAUUGUAUUAAUUAGUAUCUAAAUGUAUCUAGGCACUAAGUAACCUGUAGCUUACAUAAGUAACCUUAGGGUCAUCGAAAUUGGGGGUACAGACUUAGAC
rnacentral:lncRNA from 1 species